rnacentral:sRNA from 1 species
GGUUGGUGGCGCUUCUCCCUCUGAGGGCGAAACGAUCGCGCAUACCCAUUAUCUGAUAUGCAACAUCCUUAAGCCCGCUCAAUGCGGGCUUUUUCA